AGCUACGGCUAAAACAAAAGACAAUAUCGUUGUAUAUUACUUUUCCCUAUACCACCCAAAACGUACGCUAUAAGCUAGCUAUACAAUCCAAUGGGUUCACGCACCAUUCAUAAUAAAUGCAUGACGAAUGAACUUUCUUUGCUAGCAACCAUUUCCGCGACACCAAUUUUAUUCUCUCAAUUAUAUGAUUAACAUGAAUUUCCUUGGCUGAGCAAAUUUUCUCAUUACGUGCACGCCAAAUCAUCCAAAUCGUUGCGUGCCAUAUUAUCGAUAUCCCUUUAUGCCCCGAUUUCCCUUUCUUUUGGUGUAACAAAACUAUCAUAUAUAAGACGUAUUCUACCCAUUCUUGUAAAAGAAGUAUAGAUAUAUAGUACUCAAACCCAAAAGCUAUAGCUAAAACAAUAGACAAUGUUCAUAUCGUUGUAUAUUCCUUUUCCGUAUACCACUCAAAAAGUUAUCUAGCUAUACAAUCCAAUGGGUUCACACACCGUUAAUAAUAAAGGCAUGACAAAUGAACUUUCUUUGUUAGCAACCAUUUCCACAACACCGAUUUUUUCCUCACAAUUAUCUCAUUCACCUGAAUUUCCUUGGCCGAGAAAAUUUUCUCAUUUACGUGCACGCCAUAUCAUCCAAAUCGUUGUGUACCAUAUCAUCAAUAUCCCUUUAUGCCCCCGACUUCCCUUUCUUUAGGUGCAAGAAAACUAUCAAGGAGGGAAUGCAAGGUAAUCCACACUUCACAAUAGUGUCUAUUUCUCUUUGUUGUUAAUUUUGUUUUGUGUGGAGCGUGUCCCUGCACGACAAUGAAAGAAAUAUGAUUACACUAAGAAACAACUAUGCAAAUGCGUGAAACAUAUGAAAAGAUAUAAAGUAUGUGGAUUAAAAUUGAAUUUUCAAUUGUGGUGAGCUUUACAAAUGACUUUCUUGUGCACAAUAUUUCCUUGAUGAUAACGAUAGUGAUGGUCAAUAGCCAUUUUGUUGUGUUGUCAUUAUUAUUUCAUUGAAGACAAAUUUGACUGUAUGAAAUAGAAAAUUCGUGAGCUUGAAACCAUAUAAAAUUCAAUGUUGUUUUAUAUUUUAUAGAAUUAUUUCAAAA
rnacentral:lncRNA from 1 species